UUAAAUCAAAUUUGUAUGGAUUUGGAACGUUUGCCUACGUUUGCCGCUAGGGGCGCUGUUCCAACUGAAUUCAAAUUCGAGUUA
rnacentral:pre_miRNA from 1 species